UGCCUGUGUAAACACCAUGACUCUGGGUUCUGCUCAGCAGACUGAAGGGAACACAACUAUGAUGAUUCUCUAUGCUGUACUUGGAGAAGGCUGGUUAGUCAUAAGUUUUAAAGCAGGUUUUUAGAUCAAAAAGAAUUGUACUCAAGGAAUUGAAGCUAUGGAGCCUCUGCCACAUCUGGACCUGAUUUUGAUGACAAGAUCCUGUACCUCAAGCCCGAGACUAAUUUCAUAAUUUGAUGAAUCUUUUUGGAGAGUCAUGGGAGGAAUGUAAACAAUUUGUGGCCAAAGGAGAAUUAUGGUAGUUUGAAGAUGUGGAUACAAAUUAUUUGACAUUCUUCUCAUAGAAAGGUAACUCCAUAGCUGGGAGCCAAGUCUCGAAGCCCCAUGAGGGGAAGUGGAUACAUCUCAGAAUUGGGUUUCCUGAUACACACGACUGCAUCCUUCAUCUGCCAGGCCCUGGCAUUGUUUACUGGAGAAGAUGUCAUAGGAAAUUGGGCUAUGUCAUUGAGCCACUGGAGUCACACAUGAACAGCCAUUUGGAGAUUCUGGAAUUGAUGGUUCAGAUGAAGACAUGGAAGCAUAAGAAAUUGCCAAUAUUCACUUUGGGAGACCGAGACGGGCAGAUCACCUGAGGUCAGGAGUU
rnacentral:lncRNA from 1 species